rnacentral:misc_RNA from 1 species
AUAAAUGGUGAAAUUUCGUGUUUGAUGCAUAUGCUAGUAAAGAACUUAUAAGGAAUAUCUGUUGAUCUUGAAACACUGGCAGAUACACUACUCGUUAGAUUAGAGAUUGGAGGGACUUAGAAAAAUCUGUUAGUAAUCCAGAUGAAAAUAUGCAACGCAAGCAUGCAUGCAUGAGUUGUAUGCUUCUCUCGUUUCAAUUAAGCGG